CACGGCUAACUACGUGCCAGCAGCCGCGGUAAUACGUAGGUGGCGAGCGUUGUCCGGAAUUACUGGGCGUAAAGGAUGCGUAGGUGGAUAUUUAAGUGGGAUGUGAAAUCCCUGGGCUCAACCCAGGAAUGGCAUUCCAAACUGGAUAUCUGGAGUGCAGGAGAGGAAAGCGGAAUUCCUAGUGUAGCGGUGAAAUGCGUAGAUAUUAGGAGGAACACCAGUGGCGAAGGCGGCUUUCUGGACUGUAACUGACACUGAGGCAUGAAAGCGUGGGUAGCAAACAGGAUUAGAUACCCUGGUAGUCCACGCCGUAAACGAUGGGUACUAGGUGUAGGAGGUAUCGACCCCUUCUGUGCCGUCGUUAACACAAUAAGUACCCCGCCUGGGGAGUACGGUCGCAAGACUAAAACUCAAAGGAAUUGACGGGGGCCCGCACAAGCAGCGGAGCAUGUGGUUUAAUUCGAAGCAACGCGAAGAACCUUACCAGCUCUUGAC
rnacentral:rRNA from 1 species